AUACAUGCAAGUCGAGCGCGGGAAGCAAGCUGAUCCUCUUCGGAGGUGACGCUUGUGGAACGAGCGGCGGACGGGUGAGUAACACGUGGGCAACCUGCCUGUAAGACUGGGAUAACCCCGGGAAACCGGGGCUAAUACCGGAUAAUACUUUUCAACACCUGGUGAGAAGUUGAAAGGUGGCUUUUAGCUACCACUUACAGAGGGGCCCGCGGCGCAUAGCUAAUUUGAGAGGAGCGGCUCACCAAGGCAACGAUGCGUAGCCGACCUGAGAGGGUGAUCGGCCACUAUGGGACUUAAACACGGCACAGACUCCUCCCCUACGCACCAGUAAGGAAUCUUCCGCAAUGGACGAAAGUCUGACGGAGCAACGCCGCGUGAGUGAAGAAGUUGUUCGGAUUGCGAGCUCUGUUGUACAGCUCUACCAUGGCUUCGAAUAGGGCGGCACCUUGACGGUACCUAACCAGAAAGCCCCGGCUAACUACGUGCCAGCAGCCGCGGUAAUACGUAGGGGGCAAGCGUUGUCCGGAAUUAUUGGGCGUAAAGCGCGCGCAGGCGGUCCUUUAAGUCUGAUGUGAAAGCCCACGGCUCAACCGUGGAGGGUCAUUGGAAACUGGAGGACUUGAGUACAGAAGAGGAGAGUGGAAUUCCACGUGUAGCGGUGAAAUGCGUAGAGAUGUGGAGGAACACCAGUGGCGAAGGCGACUCUCUGGUCUGUAACUGACGCUGAGGCGCGAAAGCGUGGGGAGCGAACAGGAUUAGAUACCCUGGUAGUCCACGCCGUAAACGAUGAGUGCUAGGUGUUAGGGGGUUUCCGCCCCUUAGUGCUGAAGUUAACGCAUUAAGCACUCCGCCUGGGGAGUACGGCCGCAAGGCUGAAACUCAAAAGAAUUGACGGGGGCCCGCACAAGCGGUGGAGCAUGUGGUUUAAUUCGACGCAACGCGAAGAACCUUACCAGGUCUUGACAUCCUCUGCAAUCGGUAGAGAUACCGAGUUCCCUUCGGGGACAGAGUGACAGGUGGUGCAUGGUUGUCGUCAGCUCGUGUCGUGAGAUGUUGGGUUAAGUCCCGCAACGAGCGCAACCCUUGAUCUUAGUUGCCAGCAUUUAGUUGGGCACUCUAAGGUGACUGCCGGUGACAAACCGGAGGAAGGUGGGGAUGACGUCAAAUCAUCAUGCCCCUUAUGACCUGGGCUACACACGUGCUACAAUGGAUGGAACAAAGGGAAGCAAAACCGCGAGGUCAAGCAAAUCCCAUAAAACCAUUCUCAGUUCGGAUUGCAGGCUGCAACUCGCCUGCAUGAAGCCGGAAUCGCUAGUAAUCGCGGAUCAGCAUGCCGCGGUGAAUACGUUCCCGGGCCUUGUACACACCGCCCGUCACACCACGAGAGUUGGUAACACCCGAAGUCGGUGAGGUAACCUUUGGAGCCAGCCGCC
rnacentral:rRNA from 1 species